rnacentral:rRNA from 1 species
GACGAACGCUGGCGGCGUGCUUAACACAUGCAAGUCGAACGGAAAGGCCCUGCUUUUGUGGGGUGCUCGAGUGGCGAACGGGUGAGUAACACGUGAGUAACCUGCCCUUGACUUUGGGAUAACUUCAGGAAACUGUGGCUAAUACCGGAUAGGAUCUCCUGCUGCAUGGUGGGGGUUGGAAAGUUUCGGCGGUUGGGGCUGGACUCGCGGCUUAUCAGCUUGUUGGUUGGGUAGUGGCUUACCAAGGCUUUGACGGGUAGCCGGCCUGAGAGGGUGACCGGCCACAUUGGGACUGAGAUACGGCCCAGACUCCUACGGGAGGCAGCAGUGGGGAAUAUUGCACAAUGGGCGGAAGCCUGAUGCAGCAACGCCGCGUGCGGGAUGACGGCCUUCGGGUUGUAAACCGCUUUCGACUGUGACGAAGCGUGAGUGACGGUAAUGGGUAAAGAAGCACCGGCUAACUACGUG